ACGGGUGAGUAACGCGUGGGAACGUGCCUUCCGGUUCGGAAUAACCCUGGGAAACUAGGGCUAAUACCGGAUACGCCCUUAUGGGGAAAGGUUUACUGCCGGAAGAUCGGCCCGCGUCUGAUUAGCUAGUUGGUGGGGUAACGGCCUACCAAGGCGACGAUCAGUAGCUGGUCUGAGAGGAUGAUCAGCCACACUGGGACUGAGACACGGCCCAGACUCCUACGGGAGGCAGCAGUGGGGAAUAUUGGACAAUGGGCGCAAGCCUGAUCCAGCCAUGCCGCGUGAGUGAUGAAGGCCUUAGGGUUGUAAAGCUCUUUUAUCCGGGACGAUAAUGACGGUACCGGAGGAAUAAGCCCCGGCUAACUUCGUGCUAGCAGCCGCGGUAAUACGAAGGGGGCUAGCGUUGCUCGGAAUCACUGGGCGUAAAGGGCGCGUAGGCGGCGUUUUAAGUCGGGGGUGAAAGCCUGUGGCUCAACCACAGAAUGGCCUUCGAUACUGGGACGCUUGAGUAUGGUAGAGGUUGGUGGAACUGCGAGUGUAGAGGUGAAACUCGUAGA
rnacentral:rRNA from 1 species